GUGGAUUAGAUACCCUGGUAGUCCACGCCGUAAACGAUGGAUACUAGUUGUCGGGACUUAUGUUUCGGUGACGCAGCUAACGCAAUAAGUAUCCCGCCUGGGGAGUACGGUCGCAAGGCUGAAACUCAAAGAAAUUGACGGGGGCCCGCACAAGCGGUGGAGUAUGUGGUUUAAUUCGAUGCAACGCGAAGAACCUUACCCAGGCUUGACAUCUAGGGAGCCUCUUAGAAAUAAGAGGGUGCUCUUCGGAGAACCCUAAGACAGGUGCUGCACGGUUGUCGUCAGCU
rnacentral:rRNA from 1 species